rnacentral:rRNA from 1 species
GCCCUUAGAGUUUGAUCCUGGCUCAGAACGAACGCUGGCGGCAUGCCUAACACAUGCAAGUCGAACGAGACCUUCGGGUCUAGUGGCGCACGGGUGCGUAACGCGUGGGAAUCUGCCCUUGGGUUCGGGAUAACAGUUGGAAACGACUGCUAAUACCGGAUGAUGACUUCGGUCCAAAGAUUUAUCGCCCAGGGAUGAGCCCGCGUAGGAUUAGCUAGUUGGUGAGGUAAAGGCUCACCAAGGCGACGAUCCUUAGCUGGUCUGAGAGGAUGAUCAGCCACACUGGGACUGAGACACGGCCCAGACUCCUACGGGAGGCAGCAGUGGGGAAUAUUGGACAAUGGGCGAAAGCCUGAUCCAGCAAUGCCGCGUGAGUGAUGAAGGCCUUAGGGUUGUAAAGCUCUUUUACCCGGGAUGAUAAUGACAGUACCGGGAGAAUAAGCCCCGGCUAACUCCGUGCCAGCAGCCGCGGUAAUACGGAGGGGGCUAGCGUUGUUCGGAAUUACUGGGCGUAAAGCGCGCGUAGGCGGCUUUGUAAGUCAGAGGUGAAAGCCUGGAGCUCAACUCCAGAACUGCCUUUGAAACUACAUCGCUUGAAUCAUGGAGAGGUUAGUGGAAUUCCGAGUGUAGAGGUGAAAUUCGUAGAUAUUCGGAAGAACACCAGUGGCGAAGGCGACUAACUGGACAUGUAUUGACGCUGAGGUGCGAAAGCGUGGAGAGCAAACAGGAUUAGAUACCCUGGUAGUCCACGCCGUAAACGAUGAUGACUAGCUGUCGGGGCUCAUGGAGUUUCGGUGGCGCAGCUAACGCCGUUAAGUCAUCCGCCUGGGGGAGUACGGCCGCAAGGUUAAAACUCUAAGAAAUUGACGGGGGCCUGCACAUGCGGUGGGAGUAUGUGGUUUAAUUCGAGGCACUUCGCAGAACCUUAACAGCGCUUGACAUGG